rnacentral:rRNA from 1 species
UACGUAGGUGGCAAGCGUUGUCCGGAUUUACUGGGCGUAAAGGAUGUGUAGGCGGAUACUUAAGUGAGAUGUGAAAGCCCCGGGCUCAACCUGGGGACUGCAUUUCAAACUGGGUAUCUAGAGUGCAGGAGAGGAAAGCGGAAUUCCUAGUGUAGCGGUGAAAUGCGUAGAUAUGCGGAAGAACACCAAUGGCGAAGGCAGCCCUCUGGGACAUGACUGACGCUCAUGCACGAAAGCGUGGGGAGCAAACAGGAUUAGAUACCCUGGUAGUCCACGCCGUAAACGAUGAGUACUAGGUGUAGGAGGUAUCGACUCCUUCUGUGCCGCAGUUAACACAAUAAGUACUCCGCCUGGGAAGUACGGUCGCAAGAUUAAA